UGGAGUCAAUGAUGAAUACUUGCUACAGUUAUCCCUGACUUAGUAAACCAUGCUGAGAAUGUCACGUCAGCCUGAGACUCCA